AGACAGGAGAGGAGGAGAGAGAGGAGCAGCUAUAUCAGAUGAUCACUGUGUGUGUUCAUGAAUAUUUUACAACAGUCAUUCAGUUAGAAGAAUCUCAUCAUAAUGUACACAUCCCGGCAGCAGCCCCCUGUGACACUAUCGAAAUUUCUGCAAGGAAAUUUUCAAGUUUUCUUUUGUUCCCAAGAGAUGCAGCAUUUGGCUUGAGUUGGAGGAAAAGACCUCAAAGACUGUGUCCACAAAGUGUUUGAUCGGCUCUUUACCAAUACUCUAAUGAGCCGUUUCAAUAUGAAGGGGAGGGGGAAGAAGGAUAAAAUGCCUCUUGAAAACACC